rnacentral:tRNA from 1 species
UCCCUGGAGGGCUAGUGGUUAGGCCGUGGCGCUCUCACCACUGUGGCCCGGGUUCAAUUCCCGGCCAGGGAA